rnacentral:misc_RNA from 1 species
GAAAUGCGAUAAGUAAUGUGAAUUGCAGAAUUCAGUGAAUCAUCGAAUCUUUGAACGCACAUUGCGCCCGCUGGCAUUCCGGCGGGCAUGCCCGUUCGAGCGUCAUUUCAACCCCCAACUUUUAACCGGUUGACCUCGGAUCAGACAGGGAUACCCGCUGAACUUAA